rnacentral:rRNA from 1 species
GACAGAGGGUGCAAACGUUGUUCGGAAUUACUGGGCGUAAAGCGUGUGUAGGCGGUCCGCUAAGUCGGGUGUGAAAUCCCUGGGCUCAACCCAGGAAGUGCACUCGAAACUGGCGGGCUAGAGUAUCGGAGAGGUUGGUGGAAUUCUCGGUGUAGAGGUGAAAUUCGUAGAUAUCGAGAGGAACACCGGUGGCGAAGGCGGCCAACUGGACGAAUACUGACGCUGAGACACGAAAGCGUGGGGAGCAAACAGG